GGCUGGGAUGGGGGGAGAGAAAAAAGCAGGAACACGUGGGGGCUGCCUGCCUUGCUGUCAUCAUAACGGAGCCAUCAGCGCUCCCAGGUCCUCUACUGCCGUUUCCCCCAGUCCCAUCUGCACGCGCCGUGUGCGCCUCGGCUGGAGCAGGCUCAGCAGGGGCUGCUGGCAAGGGAGUGCAGCUAAGUCCCCUGCUAUUUCCCCCAAGGGGAUGAUGUGGAAAGGAAGUUGUACCCGUCAGCACCUGCUGAGGGCUUCGUUGACCAAACUGACAGAUGACUUUUGGAGAAUUUGGCAGUCUUGCUCUUGUUGGAUUAUGGGGCACCACUUUCAGAUAAAAACAUGGAUCUGAUUGGCAUCAUCCAGUAUCCAUGGAAACCCUGAAACCAUCUCUCUGUCUGUGCCCUGCUGCAUCUGUUGGGCUAGGAAGGAAUGUUUCAUCAGUCUGCUACAAGGACAGUAUUCACCAUUGUUUGGGGUAGGACAUUCUUCGUGGCAGUCUCUCACCUCUGGAGCUCAGCCAUGCUGGAAAUACAUCCAUGCCUGAACCUAGCCAUAUUUAGGGCAGGAGGCAAGAACAUCAUUUCAUUCAGCCUAUAGCUAAUAGCAGGUUCUGAAAUGCUCUGAUACUGAAUCCCUUGACAUUAAGUCUACUGGAUGUGAUCAUCUCUCUCUGGUCCUCUAAAGGAAGUUGAGCCAGCUACUGCACAUAGUCAUGGAGCAUAUGUUCUGCCCACUUAUGCAAAGUUGUUUGGUACUUUCUUAAUCUGUGUAAAGUGAGCUUCAACGCAAAAGGGUUAACUGCAUUAUAAAUGCCUGAAAUAUUAAUAAAAAUAUGUGUGCUUUUUUAUGAGUUAAUAGAUGUGUGGGUAAUAGGUAUUAUAAGGAUUAUUGUAAAACACUAUGCUAUACUUAACCAUCUGACUGUGAUCUCUGAAAAGGAGGUUGCAUACAUACAGUAUUUAACUCCUUUUUUGUUCUAAAACCAGCAGAUAGUAGCAAACACUUAUUUAUGGAUUUGGAUGUGUUUUGCUGUUUAGGAUAAGCCAGUCCUGCACAACCCAUAAAGCGGCAAGGGCCACAUUACUCCAAAGAAAACAGCUGAGGGCCGACACCCCCUGGCCCCGCG